rnacentral:misc_RNA from 1 species
UUAGCCAGCUGCCAUCAGGA